rnacentral:tRNA from 1 species
GGCCCUAUAGCUCAGCUGGAUAGAGCACCGGUUUUCUAAACCGUAGGUCUCAGGUUCGAGUCCUGAUGGGGCUA